GCUUAAAGAGGGGUUAAUGUCCUAUCAGCUAGUUGGUGGGGUAAUGGCCUACCAAGGCAAAGACGGGUAGCCGGCUUGAGAGGGUGGUCGGCCACACUGGGACUGAGACACUGCCCAGACUCCUACGGGAGGCUGCAGUCGAGAAUCUUUCGCAAUGCCCGAAAGGGUGACGAAGCGACGCCGCGUGUGGGAAGAAGGCCUUCGGGUUGUAAACCACUGUCGGGAGUUAGGAAAUGCAGGGGCGUUAAUAGCGCGCUUGCUUGACUAAGGCUCCAGAGGAAGCCACGGCUAACUCUGUGCCAGCAGCCGCGGUAAUACAGAGGCGGCAAGCGUUGUUCGGAAUUAUUGGGCGUAAAGAGCACGUAGGCGGCCUUGCAAGUCAGUUGUGAAAGCCUUCCGCUUAACGGAAGAACGGCAUCUGAUACUACAGGGCUUGAGUACGGGAGGG
rnacentral:rRNA from 1 species